rnacentral:rRNA from 1 species
CCUUACCAUGCAGUCGAACGGAAAGGCCCUGCUUUUGUGGGGUGCUCGAGUGGCGAACGGGUGAGUAACACGUGAGUAACCUGCCCUUGACUUUGGGAUAACUUCAGGAAACUGGGGCUAAUACCGGAUAGGAGCUCCUGCUGCGUGGUGGGGGUUGGAAAGUUUCGGCGGUUGGGGAUGGACUCGCGGCUUAUCAGCUUGUUGGUGGGGUAGUGGCUUACCAAGGCUUUGACGGGUAGCCGGCCUGAGAGGGUGACCGGCCACAUUGGGACUGAGAUACGGCCCAGACUCCUACGGGAGGCAGCAGUGGGGAAUAUUGCACAAUGGGCGGAAGCCUGAUGCAGCAACGCCGCGUGCGGGAUGACGGCCUUCGGGUUGUAAACCGCUUUCGCCUGUGACGAAGCGUGAGUGACGGUAAUGGGUAAAGAAGCACCGGCUAACUACGUGCCAGCAGCCGCGGUGAUACGUAGGGUGCGAGCGUUGUCCGGAUUUAUUGGGCGUAAAGGGCUCGUAGGUGGUUGAUCGCGUCGGAAGUGUAAUCUUGGGGCUUAACCCUGAGCGUGCUUUCGAUACGGGUUGACUUGAGGAAGGUAGGGGAGAAUGGAAUUCCUGGUGGAGCGGUGGAAUGCGCAGAUAUCAGGAGGAACACCAGUGGCGAAGGCGGUUCUCUGGGCCUUUCCUGACGCUGAGGAGCGAAAGCGUGGGGAGCGAACAGGCUUAGAUACCCUGGUAGUCCACGCUGUAAACGGUGGGUACUAGGUGUGGGGUCCAUUCCACGGGUUCCGUGCCGUAGCUAACGCUUUAAGUACCCCGCCUGGGGAGUACGGCCGCAAGGCUAAAACUCAAAGGAAUUGACGGGGCCCCGCACAAGCGGCGGAGCAUGCGGAUUAAAUUCGAUGCAACGCGUAGAACCUUACCUUGGGUUUGACAAUGGAUCGGGAGUGCUCAA